rnacentral:misc_RNA from 1 species
CUCCCCGGGAACCUGGUGCCCUCCUCCCCGGGAACCUGGUGCCCUCCUCCCCGGGAACCUGGUGCCCUCCUCCCCCUUACUCCAAUCCCAAUGCAUGGAUAGAGGCUUAACGGUGUUUGUGGCAGUUCAUGUCCCGGAUGUGUUACUAAAUGGGUGGCGCUGGAGGCUUGGGGCGAUACCACCACUCGUUUGUGUGUUGGCGAUUAGUGUUGUCCCCCCGAGUGGCCAGCGUGGCCCCGUACCAUUCAGGACACGAGUUGCAACGGGCGCGCACUGAAGCUAGCGUGCCCUCCCGAGGAGUGUCAGUAAAAUAAAAUACAAAAACACAAUCACGGUUGCACCAAGCACAACAUCAAACACAUACAAUGCUGAAGAGCAGGCGUAUCGAGGGCAUACCCGUGGCUCAUAACACAGUCACAGUUCAGAAGGCCGGCACGCGGUGUCAACCAGGCCACCAUUCCUCUCCGCAUUAAAGCACUCGGUGGGGGAGGGUGCCCUGGUUGACACAAUGUGCCGCGCAUCAACCAGCGCGACGGAAGUUGGCCUCCAGCAAAGCACAUUUUGCACGCAAAUGGUGUCCGCUCUCCCAAACCACACGAAUGGCACCAUGGCAAAAAACACUCCCCCACAAUGUAUUGACCUUGUUUGUUAAUGAAAGUGUGGCAUUGACUUCGGCAGACGCCAAGUGGUGGAUAUAGAACCACCUUUCAUGGCAGUACAUUGCAGCAUGUGCCACAUGUUCAAAAGCAAUAAACAGAUUAAAAGAA